CAUGCUGUAAGGAUUUCUCCCCGCGCCGCUCAACCUUUUAGAUCCCAUUUGCUCCGAUGACGACGAGAGAAGCAGGGAUCCGACGGUCACAUUACGCAGGUACACGCCAGCUGGAGACGCACGUGGAAGACGCGGCGCGUGCAAGAGGCGGGUAGAAGCGAUGGUUUGGGCUAGGUUGGGCUGGAUUAGGCUAAAAAUGAUUUGGGCUAGAUAUCGGGCCAAUGUAAUUGGGUCUGGUGAAUUUUUGUAAUUUGGACCGUUUAUUGGACUGUUUAGUUUUGAUAAUUUUGUUUUUAUUUAUAAAAUUGGGCCGGGCAAAUUGGGCCUAUUACACAUCAAAUGUUAAACAUUAUAAUAUCGUGUAAUACUAUAUCUUUUGUUGUAACAUAUAAUAUAAUAAUAGUUAUAUAUAA